rnacentral:rRNA from 1 species
ACCAAGAGUGAAGCCUGACUCAAAUGUGCCUUUACUUUUGCCUCAGCAUUUGGUCUGUCUCUCACUAGUCCUAAGUGAGUUCAGAGGCUUGGUAGUACUUGGAUGAAGACCACCUGGGAAUACCAUGUGCUGUAGGCU